GGUGGCAAAAGCAAUUUGGAAGCUUAAGGCAAGUCUUUAAAAGAGAUGAGUUCAAGAAAGAUGAUGCAACUUUCAUUUAAAUAGAGAUUAUGAAAAAUAUAAAAUUGCAUCAAUAACUUAAAAAAGGGGUACCACUUUAAAAAGUCUGCACUAUUGGAAGAUAAGGGCUCAUGAUCUUAAUGCCAGCAUUAAGAUAUAUAAUAAGCAACACAAUGCUAAAUGGUGAUAGGAGAAAUUCAAUAUUUACAGAAAGAUAGUGAUGUCAACAUGUGAUUGAAUCUACUUUUAUUUAGUGAUAUGCCAAAACCCUUUGCUCCAAGUGCUACAUUAAUAUCAUCAGACUAUCCCAAUCAAAAUACAAGUGCAGAAGUAAGAAUCAGUAAGGAUUUUAUACAGUGGAGAUCUUAAUAUAUUAUUUUAAGAACUCCUCAAAAGGUUAUUUCCUUAAGGGUUAUAUGAGCAGUGUUUUGUGUGUGUGUGUGUGUGUGUGUGUGUGUGUGUGUAAACAUGGGAGUCAGAGAAUGCCAAAUACUAACCAAGGUAAGAAUAAUGCAUUCAAAAUACUUAAUUAUAGAAAAGAUCAACAUGAUCUUUGCUCAUGUAUUAAUAUUUAUGAUCUUUUGAACACACUUCUUAUCAUGCAUGACUUCAAAUAUAUAUCAACAAUUUUAUUUUGAGAUACAGGAUAUUAUCUGUCCUAUCUAUAGUCAUACUGAACAUUAUUUCUUUCUCCACAAUCAAAUACAUUAUACACAAUUUCAAUAUAAUUACCUCAGUGAAACUUCAGUUCAUUUACUGAACUGGAGAUGAAACCGUUGGGGAUUUCCCCCCUUGAAAUACAUAACAUAAUCCAUUACUUUAUUAUAACUAAAUACAUUUUUGGAAGUUCAUAAAUGGAUGACAAUAUGGCUAUGAAAAAAAUCCAGGAAAUUGGUGUCAAAUGACAAUACUUUCCCCAGUUUUAUUUCAAACACAGAAUGACGAUACCAUUUUGGUAGGAAGCCUAUUUUAAAAAAAUAUCCUUACACGAAUUCUUCUUGAAUAAUUUCUAUGAAUCUUGUUGGAAAAUACCAUCAAGAUUAACCAUUUCUUUUUUCCCCUUAGAAUAGCUCAUAGAAUAUAAUAGACUGCUCAACUGCAUAGGAUUAACAUUUCCUGCACAAGCCUGUCCUUUCAUCACCCGGAUUUUUUUUCCCCAGAAACAACAAAAAAGGCACAUAAUACAGAUAAAGUAGAUAUGUGAAACAUGCUUUUUUUUUUCCUUUUAAAAUUCAAUAAUCACCUUUGUAGCUGCUUCUUCAUCGUCUCCAGUAUGACCGGCUGCUAAGUCUGUGAAGACGCUACAGUAUCCCCUUUUUUGAAUAACUUUUUAAAAUCCCUGAAUAAAACAGAAGCCAACCUGUGACUUCUUAGGAGCUUUAGUAGAAUAUUUUAAAGAAAUAAACCACAACUUAAACUCAUUCAAUACAGAAAAAAAAUCUAAAAAUAGAUCUGGGACAGAAUGUAUAACUAUCAAAUUUUAAAAACAUUUAGGAAAGGAGGAAAGAAAACCAAUUGUUAGCAUAUAAAAGGAUACUGUAACUUUAACAACUGGAAAC
ensembl:lncRNA